CAAUAGCGUAUAUUAAAGUUGUUGCAGUUAAAACGCCCGUAGUUGAACAUCUGCCCUUUUCCGGUUAGGUCCGCUCUGCGUGCACCUUCCGAAAUCGGCAUCCGUCUGCGUUGCUUCGCAUUGCAGACCGUUCACUUUGAGGAAAUUAGAGUGUUCAAAGCAGGCUUACGCCUUGAAUACUUCAGCAUGGAAUGAUUGAUAGGACUUCUAUCCUAUCUUGGUUCUAGGGACAGAAGUAAUGGUAAACAGGGUUGGUUAGGGGCAUUCGUACUGAACAGUCAGAGGUGAAAUUCUUAGAUUUGUUCAAGACGAACAACUGCGAAAGCAUUUGCCAAGGACGACCCCAUUAA
rnacentral:rRNA from 1 species